AUUAAAAAAAAAAUUAAAAAUUUGGAUUCUUCCUCUCCCACCCCCCCACCCCCCUCCAGCAGCGGGGACGGCAGCCGCCCGCGUCUGUCACGACCCCAUGGCGGGGGGCGACCCGCUGCCCCCCGGCCCCCCCGAGCCCCCCGAGCCUCCGCCUCACCGUGGGGCGCCGCAGCCGGCCCCAGGGGCCCCGCUUUGUUCCCGGGAGCCGCCGCCGGUGCCUCUCCCGCCGCGGCAGCGCCGAGGCUGCCGUCCCCUCCCUCCCUCGCCUUCCCUUCCCUCCUCUCCUCUCCCUUCCCCGCCCCGCCGCGCAGGGCUGACGCGGGGGGCGGCACCGCCCCACUGAGGCCGAGGGGAGGGCGGCGGGGUAAGGCGGCCCCCGGCCCGGCCCGGCUCAGCCCGGCCCGGCACGGCUCGGUGAGCGCCGCCUCCCCCCAGCCCCGCCGCCCGGGUGGGGCCGCGCCGCGAUGGCCGCCCCCUCGGGCCCGCCAGGUGCGGCCUCGGCCGGGGCCCGCGGCUCUGAGCCAGCUGUGGGACAGGCUGCGGUCAAACACCGCCUCUGCCGCAGCUCGGGGGGCAGAUGGGCGGAAAGCCCCCCCCGUGUGUCGUGCUGAGCGGCUCAGUGUAUGCUGUUUCUCGUCAUCGGUCAGCCACUGGAUAAAGGAAAACGUGAAGGGCAGCAGGCAGAAGAGAACAGCAAAAGACAAAGCGUCAGUAGCACAGCUGGUAAACCUGAUUUCUUAUGAACCUGUGUUCUCUGUCCAGCACCCUUGGGACAGUAAACCCACUAUGUCCUCUGUGCAUCUUCCCUUCUGCUAAUACUUUCUUGUUUUUCAGUAGGCCAACCACCCUACAGGCCUUCCCGCAUCUUCAGCCCUCUCUGCCAUCACAAUCAUAUUUUUU
rnacentral:lncRNA from 1 species